rfam:Camelus ferus unplaced genomic scaffold scaffold1399, whole genome shotgun sequence.
GAGGGUAAGGCUCAGUGGUAGAACACGUGCUUAGCAUGCACAAGGUCCUGGGUUCAAUCCCCAAUACCCCCA